UUCAAGCGCAAAACUUCCUCCAAGCCUAAUCUUGCUUUCUUGUUACCCUAACAAGAAUUUGCUUCCCCUGGGUCUAGUUUUUAAAUUCGCCAUUAUAUCUUUUCGUAUUCUCUCGAUCACUUAAAAUUUCCAUACUUCCAUCUUAGACUAACUAAUGUUUUUUUCUUUGUCACACACUCACACUAACUCCAUCUGAUGGCUUGAAAUCAAAGGAAUUGUUGAUAGAAAUAAAACCACAGAUUGACACUGUAUUAUGUUGUGGGUUAAAGCUCAUUUUGUCGAUUUGAAGCUGGAUUUUGGAAGAAGAUGGGGUUUUGGGUUUUAUCAGUUUUGCCUUAGAGCAGGCUGAAAUGUGCUGCAGCGAAGUUCUCUGAUGUGGGCAAGCCUUAUAUUAGAAGGCUCCUCGAUGGCCGGGGAUUGAUCGUGUUUUCAAGGUUAAGAAGGUGGUGGGAUGGUACCUGGUUAUUUCCUAAAGAGGAUGAAGUAAUGAUUAAUAUUGAUGGGUCUUGAAAGAAUGAUUCUGGGGGCGGUGAAGCUAUUAUUAGAGAUCACCUUGGUACUCCUCUUGCAGCUGCUUGUGGUGGCUCAUGGGUUGCGCGGUGUGGAGUUAGAGCUAAAAUUGGCCAAGUUCAAGAUAUUUAAGAGACUGCACAUUUGAACGGAUUCUAUGAUUGUGUACAAGUUGCUCUUUGACGAGAAGGUUAUUCCUGCUUGGAGUGUGAUGCGUGUCUGGAGAAGGAUAGUUCAUUCGAGGUUACAUAAACAGGGAGCUGAUUAUCUUGCCAGUAUCCAUCCUGGUGAAAGUUUUGUUGAAGUGGACCCUGUCAGUUUUGACAGUAAGUUGACAGGUUUUGUGGAAGAAUAGUUGUUUUUUUUUUUUUAAAGUUUGUUAGGUUUUUGGUUGAAAUGACAUAUGAAGCUUGUUCUACGUGACUGUGAAGGGUGGAUGGACAGAGGCCUAGGAGUCACCUCUAGCUUGUAGAGUUGUCAGGUAGUGUGCGUGAUUGAUGAACUGAAGUUGAGGGGAAAACGGUGAAGGAAUCGCAGUUUAUUAAUCUUUUUCCCUGUGUCCUUGGUGAUGUCAUAUCUGCUCUAGCAUCAAAGACAUCACACAGUCCUUACGGGAAUUCCAAAAUCACCCAUUUGCUGUUGAGCUCCCUUGGUAAGUGCAAUUUCUAAUUCUCUCUGUUGAGCUCUCUUAACUCAGUUCUCUCUAUCUCUAGUCGUGUAAAGUGGGAAACUGGGUGCAAUGAGAGAAUGCAGGAGGAGACCCUUUGCUCUCGGUACUUCGUAAGUUGGUCCAGGGGAAUUGAGCAUGAUAAUUGUGGCGAUGGUGAUCUUUUUCUGUUCUUUUUAUAACUACAUUUCUUCCAGAGCCACAGUUGCACUCCACCUUGGCACCAUCUAACACUUCUAAUGUCCGUGUAACACUGUAAUGUCCAGGAAAUGGGUUCCUAUUGCUUUCUUCCAUCCAGAUCCACAGUGUUAUAGAAUUACAGGUUGGAUAUCAUUUUUAGGGACCUGAGAAGAAAGUUAUCGAAGAUGAUUUCACCAGUGCAGCAAUCAAGACCUUCAACAGCAGAAGCUAAGCCAAUAUCUAACAGGAACGAGUUCAUGGAAGCCCACUAAGUUUGAAUGGAUUUUGGAAGCCAAAGUAUCUGACGGUUGUCACACUGCAGACGAGAAUAUCAAAUCAAAAGGGGUUUAGAAAGCACAGAAAGUCAUUAGUUGCUUCAAUUGUCAGAGAAUUUUAAAUGAUAUAGAGAGUUAUUGGGGUCUAUCCGGGUGAAGUUAUUCUUAUUUCGUUGCUUAGGUAUGGUGGUCACAAGAGGCAAGCUCAGAAGGGGUAGUCUAUAGGUAAGCCCCAGGAACAAAUGCAUUAUCUAAAUGAAAUGCCAGAGGAGCAAAUGGUCAGUUGCUGGGAGCGCGUUGGACGUAGAUCCCUUGUUCACAACUCUUACUGAAUCAACGAGGUUGAGGUUUGUUGCCUUAUCUUUCUUGUAUGACAUUACACAGAGUAGAACUAGGGUAAAUCCAAGACUGUAACAUAGGUAUGAGAUGUUUUAAUGAUGAUAUCACCAGUAGGAUUAACAUAAAUACAAGGUGGAUAACCAGGAUAAGUUUCCAUUAACCAAAUUACACUUGAAUUUUUAAGUAACAUUCAUUUAAUAUAAUGUGUGGCUUCUGCUUGUAAUA